GAGAACUUGUGGUACUGAUGUAGUUGGACUGUCAUCAUCCCUGACCUUUGCCUGUGUUUGCUGAGGCUGAUGGGAGUUGGAAUCUAACAUCUGCAGGGCUACAGGUUCACUACUCCUGAUGUAUAUGGAUUGUAUAAGACUCUGAGAAGGAUACACAGCUCUGCAAGCCCACAACGCUGGAGAGAGACAGGCACAUGGGGGAGAAUCAUGCAGGUUUCAUCGUUCCCCAGGACAGCCUCAGCAUUUAAAAAGCUUCAAGUGACUGAAAAUCAAGCAUGCAUCUUCAUACACUGGCACACUGAAAUUAAAAAAUGUACAGACGUUUGAACAGGAUGACUCAACACAUGCUCACAAAAGAUACAGCUCUAAAUACUAAAAUGUACCAAGAGGAGUCACACAAAUACAUGCAAGAUAAAUAAAGAAUGCUUACUGA